rnacentral:rRNA from 1 species
UGUUACAAUGGGGGGUACAGAGGGCCGCUACCACGCGAGUGGAUGCCAAUCCCUAAAACCCCUCUCAGUUCGGACUGGAGUCUGCAACCCGACUCCACGAAGCUGGAUUCGCUAGUAAUCGCGCAUCAGCCACGGCGCGGUGAAUACGUUCCCGGGCCUUGUACACACCGCCCGUCAAGCCAUGGGAGCCGGGGGUACCUGAAGUGCGUAACCGCGAGGAUCGCCCUAGGGUAAAACUGGUGACUGGGGCUAAGUCGUAACAAGGUAGC